rnacentral:rRNA from 1 species
CUGGCGGUAUGCUUAACACAUGCAAGUCGAACGGUAGCAGGCCUUCGGGCGCUGACGAGUGGCGGACGGGUGAGUAACGCGUAGGAAUCUGCCUGGUAGUGGGGGACAACGUGGGGAAACUCACGCUAAUACCGCAUACGCCCUACGGGGGAAAGCGGGGGCUCUUCGGACCUCGCGCUAUCAGAUGAGCCUGCGUUAGAUUAGCUAGUUGGUAGGGUAAAGGCCUACCAAGGCGACGAUCUAUAGCUGGUCUGAGAGGACGAUCAGCCACACUGGGACUGAGACACGGCCCAGACUCCUACGGGAGGCAGCAGUGGGGAAUAUUGGACAAUGGGCGCAAGCCUGAUCCAGCAAUACCGCGUGUGUGAAGAAGGCCUUAGGGUUGUAAAGCACUUUCAAUUGGGAGGAAAACCUGCCGGUCAAUACCCGGUAGCUUGACAUUACCUUUAGAAGAAGCACCGGCUAACUCCGUGCCAGCAGCCGCGGUAAUACGGAGGGUGCGAGCGUUAAUCGGAAUUACUGGGCGUAAAGCGUGCGUAGGCGGUUCGUUAAGUCAGAUGUGAAAGCCCCGGGCUUAACCUGGGAACUGCAUUUGAAACUGGCGGACUAGAGUUGAGUAGAGGGGAGUGGAAUUUCAGGUGUAGCGGUGAAAUGCGUAGAUAUCUGAAGGAACACCAGUGGCGAAGGCGACUCCCUGGACUCAAACUGACGCUGAGGUACGAAAGCGUGGGUAGCAAACAGGAUUAGAUACCCUGGUAGUCC